rnacentral:rRNA from 1 species
AUUGAACGCUGGCGGCAUGCCUUACACAUGCAAGUCGAACGGUAACGGGCCUUCGGGUGCCGACGAGUGGCGAACGGGUGAGUAAUGUAUCGGAACGUACCUUUCAGUGGGGGAUAACGUAGCGAAAGUUACGCUAAUACCGCAUAUUCUGUGCGCAGGAAAGCAGGGGAUCGCAAGACCUUGCGCUGAUUGAGCGGCCGAUAUCAGAUUAGCUAGUUGGUGAGGUAAAGGCUCACCAAGGCGACGAUCUGUAGCGGGUCUGAGAGGAUGAUCCGCCACACUGGAACUGAGACACGGUCCAGACUCCUACGGGAGGCAGCAGUGGGGAAUUUUGGACAAUGGGGGCAACCCUGAUCCAGCCAUGCCGCGUGAGUGAUGACGGCCUUAGGGUUGUAAAGCUCUUUCGCCAGGGACGAUAAUGACGGUACCUGGAUAAGAAGCCCCGGCUAACUUCGUGCCAGCAGCCGCGGUAAAGUCUAGCAUGC